rnacentral:rRNA from 1 species
AUGAGGUGUGUCAGAACAGCAAGGUUCUCGGUUAAGCUAAAUGGUGGCCUAUCACACUGUUUUUUGCCGUCUAGGGGUCUACGGCAGGGGGACCCGUUGUCACCAUAUCUGUUUCUAUUCUGUGUGGAGGGAUUCUCAGCUUUGCUGAAGCAUGCACAAGAGGAGAAAAGGAUCAAGGGUGUAUCGUUCGGGAGCACUGGCCCCACGGUCACUCAUUUACUAUUUGCUGACGAUAGUAUUGUUUUUCUGGAAGGGUCUCACGACAACUUUCUUUGUCUUCGUGCUAUCCUACAGGAUUAUGAGGCGGCCUCUGGACAAAAAGUAAACUUGGAGAAAUCGGCGAUAUUCUUUGGAAAUGGGUGUGCGGAGGAGGAAAAGGAGGCCCUUAAGCAAACUAUGGGUAUUUCUUCGGAGGCUCUCAGUGAGAGAUAUUUGGGACUACCAACGGUGGUAGGGAAAUCCAAGGAUGGAGCUUUUAAAUAUGUAAAUGAGAGUGCAAAGGGGAAAGUU